rnacentral:rRNA from 1 species
CCUACGGGUGGCAGCAGUGAGGAAUAUUGGUCAAUGGGCGCGAGCCUGAACCAGCCAAGUAGCGUGAAGGAUGACUGCCCUACGGGUUGUAAACUUCUUUUAUAAAGGAAUAAAGUGAGGCACGUGUGCCUUUUUGUAUGUACUUUAUGAAUAAGCAUCGGCUAACUCCGUGCCAGCAGCCGCGGUAAUACGGAGGAUUCGAGCGUUAUCCGGAUUUAUUGGGUUUAAAGGGGGCGUAGAUGGGUUGUUAAGUCAGUUGUGAUAGUUGUGGGCUCAACCGUAAAAUUGCAAUUGAUACUGGCAGUCGUGAGUGCGGUUGAGGUAGGCGGAAUUCGUGGUGUAGCGGUGAAAUGCUUAGAUAUCACGAAGAACUCCGAUUGCGAAGGCAGCUUAC